rnacentral:rRNA from 1 species
GGUUAAGCGACUAAGCGUACACGGUGGAUGCCCUGGCAGUCAGAGGCGAUGAAGGACGUGCUAAUCUGCGAUAAGCGUCGGUAAGGUGAUAUGAACCGUUAUAACCGGCGAUUUCCGAAUGGGGAAACCCAGUGUGUUUCGACACACUAUCAUUAACUGAAUCCAUAGGUUAAUGAGGCGAACCGGGGGAACUGAAACAUCUAAGUACCCCGAGGAAAAGAAAUCAACCGAGAUUCCCCCAGUAGCGGCGAGCGAACGGGGAGCAGCCCAGAGCCUGAAUCAGUGUGUGUGUUAGUGGAAGCGUCUGGAAAGGCGCGCGAUACAGGGUGACAGCCCCGUACACAAAAAUGCACAUGCUGUGAGCUCGAUGAGUAGGGCGGGACACGUGGUAUCCUGUCUGAAUAUGGGGGGACCAUCCUCCAAGGCUAAAUACUCCUGACUGACCGAUAGUGAACCAGUACCGUGAGGGAAAGGCGAAAAGAACCCCGGCGAGGGGAGUGAAAAAGAACCUGAAACCGUGUACGUACAAGCAGUGGGAGCACGCUUAGGCGUGUGACUGCGUACCUUUUGUAUAAUGGGUCAGCGACUUAUAUUCUGUAGCAAGGUUAACCGAAUAGGGGAGCCGAAGGGAAACCGAGUCUUAACUGGGCGUUAAGUUGCAGGGUAUAGACCCGAAACCCGGUGAUCUAGCCAUGGGCAGGUUGAAGGUUGGGUAACACUAACUGGAGGACCGAACCGACUAAUGUUGAAAAAUUAGCGGAUGACUUGUGGCUGGGGGUGAAAGGCCAAUCAAACCGGGAGAUAGCUGGUUCUCCCCGAAAGCUAUUUAGGUAGCGCCUCGUGAAUUCAUCUCCGGGGGUAGAGCACUGUUUCGGCAAGGGGGUCAUCCCGACUUACCAACCCGAUGCAAACUGCGAAUACCGGAGAAUGUUAUCACGGGAGACACACGGCGGGUGCUAACGUCCGUCGUGAAGAGGGAAACAACCCAGACCGCCAGCUAAGGUCCCAAAGUCAUGGUUAAGUGGGAAACGAUGUGGGAAGGCCCAGACAGCCAGGAUGUUGGCUUAGAAGCAGCCAUCAUUUAAAGAAAGCGUAAUAGCUCACUGGUCGAGUCGGCCUGCGCGGAAGAUGUAACGGGGCUAAACCAUGCACCGAAGCUGCGGCAGCGACGCUUAUGCGUUGUUGGGUAGGGGAGCGUUCUGUAAGCCUGCGAAGGUGUGCUGUGAGGCAUGCUGGAGGUAUCAGAAGUGCGAAUGCUGACAUAAGUAACGAUAAAGCGGGUGAAAAGCCCGCUCGCCGGAAGACCAAGGGUUCCUGUCCAACGUUAAUCGGGGCAGGGUGAGUCGACCCCUAAGGCGAGGCCGAAAGGCGUAGUCGAUGGGAAACAGGUUAAUAUUCCUGUACUUGGUGUUACUGCGAAGGGGGGACGGAGAAGGCUAUGUUGGCCGGGCGACGGUUGUCCCGGUUUAAGCGUGUAGGCUGGUUUUCCAGGCAAAUCCGGAAAAUCAAGGCUGAGGCGUGAUGACGAGGUACUACGGUGCUGAAGCAACAAAUGCCCUGCUUCCAGGAAAAGCCUCUAAGCAUCAGGUAACAUCAAAUCGUACCCCAAACCGACACAGGUGGUCAGGUAGAGAAUACCAAGGCGCUUGAGAGAACUCGGGUGAAGGAACUAGGCAAAAUGGUGCCGUAACUUCGGGAGAAGGCACGCUGAUAUGUAGGUGAAGUCCCUCGCGGAUGGAGCUGAAAUCAGUCGAAGAUACCAGCUGGCUGCAACUGUUUAUUAAAAACACAGCACUGUGCAAACACGAAAGUGGACGUAUACGGUGUGACGCCUGCCCGGUGCCGGAAGGUUAAUUGAUGGGGUUAGCCGCAAGGCGAAGCUCUUGAUCGAAGCCCCGGUAAACGGCGGCCGUAACUAUAACGGUCCUAAGGUAGCGAAAUUCCUUGUCGGGUAAGUUCCGACCUGCACGAAUGGCGUAAUGAUGGCCAGGCUGUCUCCACCCGAGACUCAGUGAAAUUGAACUCGCUGUGAAGAUGCAGUGUACCCGCGGCAAGACGGAAAGACCCCGUGAACCUUUACUAUAGCUUGACACUGAACAUUGAGCCUUGAUGUGUAGGAUAGGUGGGAGGCUUUGAAGUGUGGACGCCAGUCUGCAUGGAGCCGACCUUGAAAUACCACCCUUUAAUGUUUGAUGUUCUAACGUUGACCCGUAAUCCGGGUUGCGGACAGUGUCUGGUGGGUAGUUUGACUGGGGCGGUCUCCUCCUAAAGAGUAACGGAGGAGCACGAAGGUUGGCUAAUCCUGGUCGGACAUCAGGAGGUUAGUGCAAUGGCAUAAGCCAGCUUGACUGCGAGCGUGACGGCGCGAGCAGGUGCGAAAGCAGGUCAUAGUGAUCCGGUGGUUCUGAAUGGAAGGGCCAUCGCUCAACGGAUAAAAGGUACUCCGGGGAUAACAGGCUGAUACCGCCCAAGAGUUCAUAUCGACGGCGGUGUUUGGCACCUCGAUGUCGGCUCAUCACAUCCUGGGGCUGAAGUAGGUCCCAAGGGUAUGGCUGUUCGCCAUUUAAAGUGGUACGCGAGCUGGGUUUAGAACGUCGUGAGACAGUUCGGUCCCUAUCUGCCGUGGGCGCUGGAGAACUGAGGGGGGCUGCUCCUAGUACGAGAGGACCGGAGUGGACGCAUCACUGGUGUUCGGGUUGUCAUGCCAAUGGCACUGCCCGGUAGCUAAAUGCGGAAGAGAUAAGUGCUGAAAGCAUCUAAGCACGAAACUUGCCCCGAGAUGAGUUCUCCCUGACCCUUUAAGGGUCCUGAAGGAACGUUGAAGACGACGACGUUGAUAGGCCGGGUGUGUAAGCGCAGCGAUGCGUUGAGCUAACCGGUACUAAUGAACCGUGAGGCUUAACCUU